rnacentral:rRNA from 1 species
CCUACGGGAGGCAGCAGUGGGGAAUUUUGGACAAUGGGCGCAAGCCUGAUCCAGCAAUGCCGCGUGAGUGAAGAAGGCCUUCGGGUUGUAAAGCUCUUUUGUCAGGGAAGAAACGGUGUUUUCUAAUACAGAAUGCUAAUGACGGUACCUGAAGAAUAAGCACCGGCUAACUACGUGCCAGCAGCCGCGGUAAUACGUAGGGUGCAAGCGUUAAUCGGAAUUACUGGGCGUAAAGCGUGCGCAGGCGGUUUUGUAAGUCUGUCGUGAAAUCCCCGGGCUCAACCUGGGAAUGGCGAUGGAGACUGCAAGGCUAGAGUUUGGCAGAGGGGGGUAGAAUUCCACGUGUAGCAGUGAAAUGCGUAGAUAUGUGGAGGAACACCGAUGGCGAAGGCAGCCCCCUGGGUCAAGACUGACGCUCAUGCACGAAAGCGUGGGGAGCAAACAGGAUUAGAUACCCUGGUAGUCCACGCCCUAAACGAUGUCUACUAGUUGUCGGGUCUUAAUUGACUUGGUAACGCAGCUAACGCGUGAAGUAGACCGCCUGGGGAGUACGGUCGCGAAGNUUAAAGCUCAAAUGAAUUGACGG